AUAGAAAUACUGGUUCUCAUACGAUUGUCAAAGUUAAACAACAUUGAGCCUAGUCAGUAUAUAGAUGGGUGACCACUUGGGAAUUCCGGGUGCUGUAAG